AUUGAACGCUGGCGGCAUGCCUUACACAUGCAAGUCGAACGGCAGCACGGGGGCAACCCUGGUGGCGAGUGGCGAACGGGUGAGUAAUGCAUCGGAACGUGCCCAGUAGUGGGGGAUAACUAGUCGAAAGAUUAGCUAAUACCGCAUACGACCUAUGGGUGAAAGCGGGGGAUUCGCAAGAACCUCGCGCUAUCGGAGCGGCCGAUGUCUGAUUAGCUAGUGGCGGGGUAAAGGCCCACCAAGGCUUCGAUCAGUAGCUGGUCUGAGAGGACGACCAGCCACACUGGGACUGAGACACGGCCCAGACUCCUACGGGAGGCAGCAGGUGGGGAAUUUUGGACAAUGGGCGCAAGCCUGAUCCAGCCAUGCCGCGUGCGGGAAGAAGG
rnacentral:rRNA from 1 species